ensembl:snRNA U6 U6 spliceosomal RNA
GUGCUUGCUUCAGCAGCUCAUAUACUAAAAUUGCAACGAUACAGAGAAGAUUAGCAUGGCCCCUGCUCAAGGAUGACACACAAAUUUGUGAAGCAUUCCAUAUUUUU